rnacentral:rRNA from 1 species
ACGUAGGGGGCCAGCGUUGCUCGGAAUUACUGGGUGUAAAGGGUUCGUAGGCGGUGUGGCAAGUCGGGAGUGAAAUCUCUGGGCUCAACUCAGGGGCUGCUUCCGAAACUGCCGUGCUAGAGUGUGGGAGAGGCGCGUGGAAUUGCAGGUGUAGCGGUGAAAUGCGUAGAUAUCUGCAGGAACACCCGUGGCGAAAGCGGCGCGCUGGACCACUACUGACGCUGAGGCGCGAAAGCGUGGGUAGCAAACGGGA